ensembl:snRNA U6 U6 spliceosomal RNA
GUGUUUGCUUCUGCAGCACAUGUAUCAAAAUUAGAACGAUGCGGAAACGAUUAGCCUGGCUCUUGUGCAACGAUGCUAUGCAGAUUCAUGACGUGUUCCAUAUUUUU